rnacentral:rRNA from 1 species
GACGAACGCUGGCGGCGUGCUUAACACAUGCAAGUCGAGCGGUAAGGCCCUUUCGGGGGUACACGAGCGGCGAACGGGUGAGUAACACGUGGGUGACCUGCCCUCAGCUCUGGGAUAAGCCUGGGAAACCGGGUCUAAUACCGGAUAUGACUCCAUGACGCAUGUUGUGGGGUGGAAAGCCUUGUGCGGCUGAGGAUGGGCCCGCGGCCUAUCAGCUUGUUGGUGGGGUGANGGCCUACCAAGGCGACGACGGGUAGCCGGCCUGAGAGGGCGACCGGCCACACUGGGACUGAGACACGGCCCAGACUCCUACGGGAGGCAGCAGUGGGGAAUCUUGCGCAAUGGGCAAAGCCUGACGCAGCGACGCCGCGUGAGGGAUGAC